GAUCCUGGCUCAGAACGAACGCUGGCGGCAUGCCUAUCACAUGCAAGUCGAACGAGACCUUCGGGUCUAGUGGCGCACGGGUGCGUAACGCGUGGGAAUCUGCCCUUGGGUUCGGAAUAACUCUUGGAAAUGAGUGCUAAUACCGGAUGAUGACGAAAGCCCAAAGAUUUAUCGCCCAGGGAUGAGCCCGCGUAGGAUUAGCUAGUUGGUGAGGUAAAGGCUCACCAAGGCGACGAUCCUUAGCUGGUCUGAGAGGAUGAUCAGCCACACUGGGACUGAGACACGGCCCAGACUCCUACGGGAGGCAGCAGUGGGGAAUAUUGGACAAUGGGCGAAAGCCUGAUCCAGCAAUGCCGCGUGAGUGAUGAAGGCCUUAGGGUUGUUAAGCUCUUUUACCCGGGAUGAUAAUGACUGUACCGGGAGAAUAAGCCCCGGCUAACUCCGUGCCAUCAGCCGCGGUAAU
rnacentral:rRNA from 1 species